rnacentral:rRNA from 1 species
AACGUAGGAGACAAACGUUAUCCGGAGUUACUGGGCGUAAAGGGCGUGUAGGCGGUUUGUUAAGUUUGGCGUGAAAGCUCUCGGCUAAACCGGGAGAGGUCGUUGGAUACUGGCAAACUAGAGGACGGUAGAGGCGUGUGGAAUUCCGGGUGUAGCUGGUGAAAUGCGUAGAUAUCGAGAGGAACACCUGCGGCGAAGGCGGGUUGCUGGGCCGUGACACUGACGCUGAGGCGCGAAAGCCAGGGGAGCGAAACGGG